rnacentral:rRNA from 1 species
AUGAUUGCUCUUAUCGGUAUGGCUCCUACCGAGGAGGAGGGAGAAGAGAAGAAGAAGAGGGAAAGGAAGGCAGCUGGAGCUGCUUUCACGUGGAUUCAAAAUAACUUUGCGACGUGCCCUCCGGAUGCAACUGGUGAUGUGAUCCAGACACAUGCUCGUGUGUAUAUGUGGUACAUUGUGUCGAGGACUUUGUUUCCUGACUCCACUGGCAAGAACGCUCCAUGGAUGUGGCUGAAGGCGUUGACCGUCUUCGAUAGCAAAUGGAGCUGGGGUUCAGCGACUCUUGCCUACUUGUACCGACAGGUAGUUGGUCUGUUUUGUGAUCAACUCAUUUAUUCAUUAGCAAUGCAAGCUUGCUGUCAAGUUAACAUUGUUUUUCUUUCAUAUGUAGCUGGAUGA